rnacentral:misc_RNA from 1 species
ACAUAAUGCAAAACUUUCCAUGAGUGCAAACGUUUGUGUAACAUAAAUAACUCUUCAAGCAAAUUUUUCAAAUGGAUUUCAAAGUUCAUCUCCUCAUUUACAUUUGCGUUUUAAUGCAUGUGAUGGAUUCUAUAGAAGGUGUGAAUGAUCAUGCUCAUGAAUCUAGACCCGAAAAUGUCCGACUAUUAGGAAUUGAACCAGACCUUAAGCACGACAUGCUCGUAGGCAUGGAUAGACUCAAACCAGAAGAUGAUGAACGUAGUACAACUUAUUCAAAUUCAGGUCACAGAAGUAAGAGUAGCGAAGGAGCUUACCCAAAAGGAAUUUAUAGACUUAUCGUGUUGCCUUCAAAGCUACAAUCCAUCAGAGAAAACGAAUAUCACAAUUCUUUCCCGGUAGUGAAGUUCAAAUAUCUCAGAACGAGCAUAAACGAGGAAAGAGAUAUUCUGAAGAGUACAGAUGAAUUCCUCAGACCAGAAGGUAUGACGAUUUACAAAAGGAGGUUGAAUUUGGAUCGAAAUUUGACUCCAAUCAGACGGUCGACUGCUAUGAUAGGGUAUUUGGGAGAUAGAUCUAAGGUGGAGCAACAGUUAACUAUGGCAACUAGUUUGGUUUCAGAAGAAGACUCAAUGCCUGGAUCUUUAGUUGAUAAAUCAUAUUCAUCUCAGAUGAGAAGAGAUUACCUUGCUAGUCUGUUGAGGAGGAUUGUAGCUUCAAAAUACAAUCAUAGGAGUCAAGCUCUGGUCGCUGGUGGUUCAAAAUCAAGAUAUUCUGUGUCAGGAAGGGAGAAAAUUUGGAUUCUGACAAGCACCUCCAGGUUGUACCUCAGAAGAAGGCGAUUAGUUUGUCUGGAAGAGGUGACAUCAGUAAUCUUGAGGUUGUACCACAGAAGAAGGUGACUGGUUUAUCUGGAAUCCUCUCAAAAAGUGACGACAUUAGUAAUCUUUUAGUACGCAAACAACAAGAAACCCCCCAUUCUUUUGAUGGCAUCUUGAAUUUGGAGAAAGUCAGGUCGAAAAGAUCACUGGAAAGGAAUCCUGGGCUACUGGGGGAUGUGAAUGUUUCUGUCAACAAAGGAAGAACUAGGAGAGCUUCAAUUGAUCUCACAGGACUUCUGCCUCCCAUCAAACUUGACAUUGGUAGAUCGGCGCCUAAAACGGACAAUUCUGAGAGCACCGAGGAUCAAGAUGAAAAUGACGAGAGAAGUGCUAGAAUGAAUUCUAUCAACAAAGGCAGAACUAAGAGGGCUUCAAUUGAUCUCACAGAGCUUCUGCCUCCUAUUGAACUUGAAAUUGGUAGAUCGGCGCCCAAGUCGGACAAUUCUGAGAGCACCGAAGAUGAAGAUGAAAAUGACGAGAGAAGUACUAGAAUGAAAAUGGGUAAGACACGGACUAGGAGAUCAGUUGAGAAUCGUAAGAUGUCUCGGUUACUGGGAUCAGUGGAUGUCACUGUCCACAAGGGCAAAUCGAAGAGAGCCUCAAUAGAUCUCAGCGACCUGUUGCCUCCAAUGUCUCUUAAGAUUGGAAAAUCAGCCUCCAACUCUGGAAGUGCCAAGAGUCGAUCAAAGAGAGCCUCAGCGGAUCUUUCUGGCUUGUUACCCAAUGUCGACCUCCAAUUUGGGAAGUCUGAGAGAUCCGUUCCUGAUUCACCCCAAAAUAGAGAAUCAGUGGAUCUUUCUGGCUUGUUACCCCCUGUCGACCUCCAAGUUGGGAAGUCUGAGAGAUCCGUUCCUGAUUCACCCCAAAAUAGAGAAUCAGUGGAUCUUUCUGGCUUGUUACCCCCUGUCGACCUCCAUGUUGGGAAGUCUGAAAGAUCCAUCCCCAAUUUACGCCAAAAUCCA